CAAUAGCGUAUAUUUAAGUUGCUGCAGUUAAAAAGCUCGUAGUUGGAUUUCGGGUGGGAAUGGCCGGUCCGCCGUUUCGGUGUGCACUUGCUACGCCCACCUUGCUGCCGGGGACGUGCUCUUGAGUUCACGCUCGGGACACGGAGUCGGCGAGGUUACUUUGAGUAAAUUAGAGUGUUCAAAGCAGGCCUACGCUCUGAAUACAUUAGCAUGGAAUAACACGAUAGGACUCUGGCCUAUCUUGUCGGUCUGUAGGACCGGAGUAAUGAUUAAGAGGGACAGUCGGGGGCACUCGUAUUUCAUUGUCAGAGGUGAAAUUCUUGGAUUUAUGAAAGACGAACUACUGCGAAAGCAUUUGCCAAGGAUGUUUUCAUUAA
rnacentral:rRNA from 1 species